AUGCAGAGCAAGCAGCGGGGGGUGGGAUCAACACAGGUCAUGCAGAGCAAGCAGCGGGGGGUGGGAUCGCGCGUACGGCGUACAUACCUAAACGCAGCUGUAGACACCAUGGCCACCUGGAUGACUCGGGUGAAGGGAGGACGAAGCGGAUCGUGGUGGGGGCUGCCGCUCCAAGUUGUGCUCGGCGGCGCACCAGAGGGGGAGUUAGGAGAAGAGGAGAUAAGGCACGGGGAGGGAUGGAGGUUUCCGCUUGACGGCGGGCAUCACCAGUGUCGCCGGCUUGUCGCCGCCGCCGGUGCGGUCGCUUCGAUGCGCCUCGAAUCGGGACGGGAUUUUUUUUCUUUAGGCAACCGAAUCGGGACCGAAAGGAUUGGACGCGGUCGCUCCUCUGUAUGCCUCGCAAACCCAGCAGACCUCCUUUAG
rnacentral:rRNA from 1 species